UCUAUACAGACUCAUGCAGUCUCCGGCAGCAACAGAGAAUUCCACCAUAACCCCAGGCACAGGCUGAGUGAUGGAUGCGAUGGAUGCUGAAUGAUAUGUGACUGAGUGAACCGCAGUGCACUCUGGGAAACCCGGAAGGAGAUGGCUAUCAUGAAAAAUGAUGUUUUUGCCUAUAAUUCAAUAUCCAGGAUCCAAGAGAAGCCUCUACAGCUUGGGCUGCAAAAACAACAACUGGAGUUAGAAGCUCUGGGAGGUGUAGACUAGAGAGAGGAUCCUGUCAUCUUUGCAGAGACAGAAGGCUUUGCCUGUGUUCAUCAAUCCUGUUUCUCCAAGGACAAACUAAAGAACUCAGAGGUGACUUGUAAUGAGGAAGGGAGCUGCCAGGCCCUUUGAGAAGAUCACAGCCAUCCAAAGCAGAGACACUUUAAAGCCAGGCAGAGUGGAGAUGCCACUUAGAAACUCGGGUGCUUCCUGACAAAGAAGGACACAUUACUCUUUCUGAAAAAGCUCAUCAAAUUGAACCUGCCCAUCACCUGGACCUGUCCCUCACCUGGACCUGUCCAUCACCUGGAUAUGUCCAUCAUCUGGAUCUGUCCAUCACCUGAACCUGCCCAUCACCUGGACCUGUCCCUCACCUGGACUGGGAAGCUAAGAAGUCCAGAGCAAGAAACAGCUGAUUGGCCUGUAUCAUCUGGGUGGAGCCAAGGCAUCCCAAGGAUCCUUGUUAGGAGGAGGGAGGAGAGUCAUAGUCUCAGAGAGACGGGUGAGGACUGAAGCAGAGUGUUGAAGAAAAAUGGGAGAGGUGAUGAGAAUCCCUAGCUCGCACUGACAAUGUGAGGAUGUGGGCUGGGUCUGUGAACACAUCCAGAACAGGACUCCAUGUGGAAGAACACAAACAAGUGAGAUGCACUGGUUAUAUGCUGCUGUUCUCCAAGGCACUGCUACCUGCUGAGAGGCCCUGGAGAUAUUCUGGAGACAGCACCUGGCAGAUCCACCUACAGGCUGGCGACAAGCACCAAGAAUGGAUUGGGCAGGGGAUGGGCCUCCCCUCUUUAUAAGCAGUCUCUUAGUAAACUCGGGGGCCUUG
ensembl:lincRNA 4933438B17Rik RIKEN cDNA 4933438B17 gene